UAAAUAAAAAUUAAUAGAAAUUAUAUAAAGGUGAAAUGGAAAUAAGAAAAAUAAAGCAUAAUCAGUUAAAUGAGCCGAGGUCCUAGCGAUGAGUGACCGAAACGGGAAGUGACUGCAAGCUCAGUUGCUACACUAAUUUCGUGUGGGACCCUAUACCACCCCAGGCCUAGGGAUAAUUGCGAAAUUAAUGGUAAUGUGAAAACCACAUAAAAGAAUAGAGAACCAGCUAAAAUAAUUGAAUCAGAGUUCAGGAAGCAAUCUAGUACUGUUGGAAAAACUGAUCAGAGCGAUAAGGGGCAAUCUGGUCAGUUCACUGAUAAUGUGGCCUAAAUGUCCAUUAAAAUG
rnacentral:misc_RNA from 1 species